rnacentral:rRNA from 1 species
CCUACGGGAGGCAGCAGUGGGGGAUAUUGCACAAUGGGGGAAACCCUGAUGCAGCGACGCCGCGUGUGGGAAGACGGUUCUCUGGAUUGUAAACCACUGUCCCCAGGGACGAAGAUGAGGGUACCUGGGGAGGAAGCUCCGGCUAACUACGGGCCAGCAGCCGCGGUAAUACGUAGGGAGCGACGGUUUCCCGGAAUUACUGGGUGUAAAGGGAGCGUAGGCGGGGAUGCAAGUUGGGGGUAAAAACUACCGGCUCAACUGGGAGUCGCACUCAAAACUGCAGGUCUUGAGUGAAGGAGAGGCAGGCGGAAUUCCUAGUGUAGCGGUGAAAUGCGUAGAUAUUAGGAGGAACACCAGUGGCGAAGGCGGCCUGCUGGGCUUUUACUGACGCUGAGGCUCGAAAGUGUGGGGAGCAAACAGGAUUAGAUACCCCUGUAGUC